rnacentral:rRNA from 1 species
CCUACGGGAGGCAGCAGUGGGGAAUAUUGGGCAAUGGGCGCAAGCCUGACCCAGCAACGCCGCGUGAAGGAAGAAGGCUUUCGGGUUGUAAACUUCUUUUUAGAGGGAAGAGCAGAAGACGGUACCUCUUGAAUAAGCCACGGCUAACUACGUGCCAGCAGCCGCGGUAAUACGUAGGUGGCAAGCGUUGUCCGGAUUUACUGGGUGUAAAGGGCGUGCAGCCGGGAAGACAAGUCAGAUGUGAAAUCCCGGGGCUCAACCGCGGAACUGCAUUUGAAACUGUUUUUCUUGAGUACCGGAGAGGUAAUCGGAAUUCGUUGUGUAGCGGUGAAAUGCGUAGAUAUAAGGAAGAACACCAGUGGCGAAGGCGGAUGACUGGACGGCAACUGACGGUGAGGCGCGAAAGCGUGGGGAGCAAACAGGAUUAGAUACCCUUGUAGUC